GACGAACCGUGCGAACGUUAUCCGGAAUGAUUGGGCGUAAAGCGUCCGCAGGUGGCUAUGUAAGUCUGCUGUUAAAGAGUGAGGCUCAGCCUCAUAAGAGCAGUGGAAACUACAUGGCUAGAGUGCGUUCGGGGCAGAGGGAAUUCCUGGUGUAGCGGUGAAAUUCGUAGAUAUCGGGAGGAACACCGGUGGCGAAGGCGGCGACCUGGGUCGAGACUGACGCUGAGGCGCGAAAGCGUGGGGAGCAAACAGG
rnacentral:rRNA from 1 species